rnacentral:rRNA from 1 species
UGAACGCUGGCGGGCGCGCCUAACACAUGCAAGUCGAACGGUUAAAGCAGUCUCCGGAUGUGUAUAAAAGUGGCGAACGGCUGAGUACACGUGGGCAACCUGCCCUUUGCACUGGGAUAGCCUCGGGAAACCGAGGUUAAUACCGGAUACUCCGUAUUUGUCGCAUGGCGAAUAUGGGAAAGCUCCGGCGGCAAAGGAUGGGCCCGCGGCCUGUUAGCUAGUUGGUGGGGUAGUGGCCUACCAAGGCAAUGAUGGGUAGCCGGGUUGAGAGACCGACCGGCCAGAUUGGGACUGAGACACGGCCCAGACUCCUACGGGAGGCAGCAGUGGGGAAUCUUGCACAAUGGGCGAAAGCCUGAUGCAGCGACGCCGCGUGCGGGAUGAAGGCCUUCGGGUUGUAAACCGCUUUCAGCAGGGACGAGGCCGCAAGGUGACGGUACCUGCAGAAGAAGCCCCGGCUAACUACGUGCCAGCAGCCGCGGUAAAU